rnacentral:rRNA from 1 species
GUAGGUGGCAAGCGUUGUCCGGAAUUAUUGGGCGUAAAGCGCGCGCAGGCGGUUUUUUAAGUCUGAUGUGAAAGCCCACGGCUCAACCGUGGAGGGUCAUUGGAAACUGGAGAACUUGAGUACAGAAGAGGAAAGCGGAAUUCCACGUGUAGCGGUGAAAUGCGUAGAGAUGUGGAGGAACACCAGUGGUGAAGGCGGCUUUCUGGUCUGUAACUGGCGCUGAGGCGCGAAAGCGUGGGGAGCAAACAGGGAUUAGAUACCCUGGUAGUCCACGCCGUAAACCGAUGAGUGCUAAGUGUUAGGGGGUUUCCCGCCCCUUAGUGCUGCAGCUAACGCAUUAAGCACUCCGCCUGGGGAGUACGGCCGCAAGGCUG